AGAAACCAAAAGAAUAGAGAUGGGCAUACCAAAAAGACAUGCACACAUAUGUUACCGUAUUCCUUUUUUAGAUUUCUUUCUUUUUUCUCUCUUCCUUCCUCCUGU
rnacentral:ribozyme from 1 species